rnacentral:lncRNA from 1 species
UCGAAGUUCAGUCAGUCGCCGAUCCUGCACAAUCUCCCGGGAGUAACCCGCCAUGGCCGAAUGGAGCCAGCUGCCGGAGGACCUCCUCCGCCGCAUCGCGCGACGCCUCGGCACGCAGUUCGACGUCCUCCGAUUGCGAUCCGUCUGCUCUUCCUGGCGCUCCUCGCUCGCACCGAGCCCUAACCCCUUACGGCGCGGCCGAAUCCCGACGAUCCCGCACGAGGGGUAUCCCGACGACUGCACCGAGCUAUACCUUCUCCCCAAGCGCACCAUCUUCCUCGUCGGAGUGCCCCGAUCCUGCGACCAAACAGUCCCCAGCGGUUGGCUGGUCAAAGUCUGGGAGGACGACCGCGGGGGGAUGAAUCUACUGAACCCUUUCACCAGCUGCGAAUUCGAUCGGCUGCCUGAGGAUUUUCCGAGAGUUUUGGACUUGAUGAAUCUGCGCGUGCUGGAGUUAGGGCACGAGUGUGUGUUGCAGGAUUCCAAUUGUCUCAGCUAUGGCUUUUAUAAUAAGGUAUGGGACACGGAUAGGGUUGUUUUUUUGUGUUUAGACAAUGAAAAUGAUUUUGCGCUGCUCAGGCUUAUCCCUGGUGGCACAAUGGUCAUGUUUAAAUCUAGGGAAAAACGGUGGUCACGCGUUCAGGACAUGCUGUCGGGAUAUGACGACGUGAUAUUGUUUAAGGGGGAGUUUUAUGCCGUUGACAAUGAUGGGCGCACUGUGGUUGUCGGGUUGGAUUCCAGUGUGACUUUGAUUGCGCAGUCGACCUUUGAUUGUUGGGACAAGCGUUUGGUGGAAUCUGUGGGCGAACUGCUGUUGGUCAAUAUGUAUUGGGAGGAGGAGACAACCAGAUUGAAGGUCCACAAGUUGGACAGAGAAGAGAAGGUAUGGAAUGAGGUGAAAGAUUUAGGGGAUAGGGUGUUGUUUCUGGGAGAGGAAUGUACAUUUUCUGCUUCAGCUGCAGAUUUAGGGGCUUCUAAGGGGAAUUGCAUAUUUUUUACUGAUCAUGCUGGAGUAGUCAUAGGAGCGUCGAGCCUUGAGAUUGGUGUCUAUGAUAUGGAUAGUGGCAUUAUUGGACCUAUAGAAGAUUAUGCAGGUUAUUCACAGCUGUUCUGGCCUCCUCCGGAUUGGAUUGUUCCCAGGACCGCAGAAGUAAGCAUUUGUUUUCUGGAAUCUUUUCAAUCAUCUAUUAUUAAUUAUCCAAUCUUUGGAUCAUUGUUAGACUUUUCAGUUUGUCAGUCCUACAAAUCCGUAUAGGAGCACACUAGAGAUUUCCUCUAUUCUGUCCCAUAUUCUCAUGCUACAUUCUAUCAUCAUGUUCCAAAAAUAUGUCAAAGUUACUUCCUUGUGGGCAUUGGUUUAUAUUUGCCAGAGUGGAAACCAUGGACUAUAGUCACUGCUGGAAGAAAAUGUUGGCACUCAACAUUAGAUUCUUCAUGCUUUAUCAUAGUUGGUUUUAUUCCUGGCAAAGCAUAUCUCAUUGAACAUUCUCUGUCAUUUUUCCUUUCUGUGAACUAUUUAAUAUUCUCUUGGUGAUAGCCUCAGGUUCAAAAUCAAUUGGAAGCACUGACAGUGUAACGCGGAGGUUGGUCUUCUUGGAUAUUGGGGUGUUGCUGCAAUCGAAUCGUUUGUUCACGGCAUUGUACAUGAAUAACACGGUAAGAAAGGGCUAGAGAGGUUGAUUUAGCUCACUGUAUGGACCCCGAGGCACUGAAGGAAGGCAAGAAGGUAGUCUGGUUAGGUGGCUAUUUUUACUUUCUGUACUCACAUAUGGAUGCUUUUUGUAUUGUAAGUAAUACUUCUAAGGUCUUUCCUAAGCUUGGAGGAUGUCAGUCACUUGCCAAAGAGGCAAAACUUUUGCCAGCGAGUUUUUGCCUGAUUCAUUUACAUAGCUAUGACGCCUGUUGCACAGUCCAGAAGUUUGUGAACUAUAUCGGUCGUGUGUUGCCCCUAUUGAUGACAGAGAACCUACCUAAGGCAGAGUUCAAUCUUUUAGCCAACUCAGAUAUUUGACAAACAGAAACAACAAUUUCACAAAACAUAAACUUCAGUCGAAAGGAUCGUGUGGAUUUCAUUAAUGGAGCAUCCAUUUUCUCUUUAGACGAAUUCUCAAACCUUCAUGUUCAUAUAUAUUUCAGGGUUUUACUUGAAUUGCAUUGCAAGGACAGAACCCAUAUCCAUCCAGAUUCAUACCACUGGAAGAUUCAUAUCACCAGGGCCCCCAUUGUCACUUUCGGCACCUUCAUUGAGAUCUCUCUCUCUCAAGCACAAAGAAGAUAAAUGGGCAACCAAAGGCAAUUUCACAUAUGCCUGGUUCCCUGAUCUUCAGAGGCCAAUAGGGUGCUUCUCUCAAAACACAAUACUAGGAAACUCCAAAUCAGUAUCAUCUUUUCUCUACUCAUUUACUCUGACACAUGUACAUUCUCUCUACUUCUCCCAUACAUAUAGACCCACUCAUGAAUUCACGCUGCUAAUAUUUCCUGCAUUUGGAUCCAACUCAUCGUCAAUCUCGUUCGGGUGCAUCCCCAGAAAACCGCCUCGCAGUAAUGUUCCCAGCUUAUGACCAUAUCUCUUCGGAUUCUGGUGCUGCUGGUUUCUCAUCGUGUUUUUUGUGAUUGUUGCCGUUUGUGGACGAGGGCAUUCUUCCCGGAUUUCCACCGAAGGGAGAGGAACAGAAAGAUGGGGUCGCAAAGGAGAGCCGUAAGGCGUGUGCUUGAUCGAGAAGGGACUAGGAGCCAUCUUCUCUUCUGAAUGGGGAGACAAACCAGACAUUAUCGUCGCCGGUCGAGCCGAUCUAUCGUGCUUGGAAGGAAGAAGGGGCUCAUUGCUUGAUCUUGGUCCGAUGAGCAAUUGAGAUCAAAGCUUCUCCAAUUUUGUUUCACAUGGUGAUAAUUCACAACAUUUGUAAGCUUGGAGUUAUUAUUUACACAGGUGAUUGUGGGCUAAAUUGAGAGGAGAGCUAUCGUUUCAGGGGUUCAUUUGAAAUUUAUCUUUCGCAUCUCUUUUCAGAAAUCUUAACGUACUUAAUACCAUGAUCUUGUCAUGAUUGUAGCCCUUGAUAGGUUCUAAUUACCUCACAUUUCUCUCGAGAUUUGAGCAAUGUAACUGCUAAUAGGCACGCGCUAUACUUGAAUCGGCUUAAGGCACGACUUGCGACAAUGAUGGGUCGUCCCAAACCCAUGUCCAAACACAUGUGAUAAGCUCGAGCUUGAUUUUUAAGUUCUUUUUAUAUAUUCUUUAAAAUAAUAAAAAUCCCAAUAAAACUGUCCAUAGAAAUAAAUUCUUCCCUUCUUAAUGUUUAUGUUUUUUUUAUAGGGAGUCCUAAGUAGGGGCCAGCUGCACAAAAUUAAAAAUACAAAGGGGAACUACGUAAUUAAGGGUAUUUGAAAAGGAAAAAGAAAAAAAAACAACAUCGAGAUUUUAGCAGGAGACUUUAUUUUACGCAUAGCCAAAUUUAAAAAAAAAAAGAAGAACAAAAUCGUGAUAUGAGCAUCACCUGUACGUGGAAUACCUAAACCUGCUAGCCAAACACUCCCCAUUCUUCUUCUCAAUCUCCCAAAAAUCACUCCCGCCUCCCACCUUCUUCUUCACCCUGUCGAGGUUUUAGAGCAAGCAAAGCAGUAUCUCAGUCGCCGAAUGAUGCAGCAAUGGUGCACGAAGCUCCGGCCACCGACGCUUCAAUGGUCUGGUCCAUUCAUUCGUAAGCUUGGAUUCAUUAUGUACACAGGUGAUCGUGGGCUAAAUUGAGAGGAAAGCUUUCAUUCAGGGGGUUGAACGAAAAAACUUUUAAAAGUACAGGGACGGGGGGCAAAGAUGUAAUUAAGCCUCGAAAGCGCGCGUUCGUUCCCGCUUCACUGCGAUUGCUUCCUUCCGAAGCACGAAGUCCGUUCACCUGUAAAUUUUCCCGGCGGAUUCCCCCCACUUUCUCUCGCGUUUUCUCGCCGAUCCUGCUCGAUGUCCCGGGCGCAUCCCGCAGCCUCUAUGGCCGAUUGGAGCCGGAUGCCCGAGGACCUCCUCCGGCUCAUCGCGCGCCGCCUCGACACGCGGUUCGACGUCCUCCGGUUCCGAUCCGUCUGCUCUUCCUGGCGUUCGUCGGCCGCACCGAGCCCCAACCUCUUCGGGAACGGCUGAUUGCGGAUCCUCCGGCACGGUAGGGAUCCCGACGACUGCAUCGAGGUAGGCUUCAUUUCCAAGCACACCAUCUUCCUCCUCGGAGCGCCCCGAUCCGGCGACCGAACGGUCCCCAGAGGGUGGCUGCUCAAAGUCGGGGAGGACUUCCCCGGGAGGAUGCAUUUACUGAACCCUCUCUCCAGCUGCGAAUUCGAUCGGCUGCCUGAGGAUUUUCCGAGAGUUUUGGACUUGAUGAAUCUGCGCGUGCUGGAGUUAGGGCACGAGUAUGUGUUGCGGUGCUCGAAUAUCCGUGACAAUCGUGGUGGUGCAGGCGUACCUUUCCCGGAUAAGGUUGCUUUUAUGUGUUUAGGCAAUGGAAAUGAUGUUGCGAUGCUCCGGAUUGAGUCAGGGAAAUUGGCCAUGUUCAAAUCUGAGGAAAAACGGUGGUUCCUUCAGGACCUGCCGUCGCCGUCGCCGUACGACGACGUGAUAUUGUUUAAGGGGGAGUUUUAUGCUGUCGAUUGCGCUGGGAGGACGGUCGUUGUCGGGUUGGAUUUGGGUGUGACCUUGAUUGUGCAGUCAAACUUUAGUGGUCACAAGAAGAAGUUGGUGGAAUCCGUCGGUGAGCUGCUCAUGGUCUACAUUUAUUUUAGCCUUAAUGCGGGGAUUGCAAUGGAGAUGACGCUCCGGUUCAAUGUCUACAAGUUAGACAGAGAAGAGAAGGUGUGGAAUGGGGUGAAAGACUUAGGGGAUAGGGUGCUGUUUCUGGGAGAUGAAUGUGCAUUCUCUGCUUCAGCUGCAGAUUUAGGGGCUUCUAAAGGGAAUUGCAUAUUCCACACGGGUUAUGUUGAAGAGGCAGGAAAUUCGAGCCUUGGGAUCUGUGUCUAUGACAUGGAUAGUGGCCUUUUUGGACCUACAGAAGAUUAUGCAGGUUAUUCAGAGCUGUUCUGGCCUCCUCCAGAUUGGAUUGCUUCGAGGACCUCAGCAGUAAGCAUUUGUUUCCUGGAAUUCUUUCAAUCAUCUAUUAUAUGUUUGUCGGUCCUAGGAAGUAUAGGAAUUCACAUAGGAGCACGCUGGAGAUUUCCUCUGUUCUGUCAGCAUAUUCUGAUGCUACAUUCUAUCAUCAUGUUCUAAAUGUAUGUCAUAGCUACUUCCUUUCAGGCAUUAGUUAUACUUUUGCUAAGGAAAAGUGUUAAAAAAGUCAUAAAUUUAUUGCAUUUGUGCCAAAUUUAGUUAUAAAUUUUUUGAUCUAGUGCCAAUUCAGUUUUUUGACCGGAUAUUAAUGACUUGGACGCUGGGUGUCCUUUGCAGACAAUUUUAAUGGUAUUUUAAUUUUUUGAUUAUUAUUAUUAUAAUAUUGUUUUUCUAUUUUUUUUUUCCUUUCUUCUUCAGUUGGUGAUUAGCCUUAGGCAAGGAUCGUUGUUGCCCACCAUAGGCGAGGGCUCCCCUCGCUGGGCCUCGCCUGGGCGAGGGAAGCCAACGCCUAGCGAGGCUGCCUUGGCCUAGGUGGGGGCCGGCCUUGUUAGAUCCAGCGAGUAGAGCCCACGCGGAGGCUCACUUACUCAGGCCUCGCCGACUUGGGCGGGCGAUGGCGACCCUCACCCAGGCAAUACGUGAGGCCAGCUUGUGCAGCCAUCACCUGUGACCAGUGGCCGAUUGGCUGCAAAAAUAAGAAGAAAGGAAACAAAAUCAGAAAAAAAUAAUAAAAAAUAAUUAAUAUCUUUAAAAAUUAUUCACGUUAGUCGCUGGUUAUGCUACAUAGGACGUCUGGCAUCUCAGUAAAUAAUAUCCGGCCAAAAUUAGUUGGAAGAAUCAAAUUGGCACUAAAUCAGAAGAUUUAGGAUUAAAUUGGUAUCAAUAUGUUUAGGACUUUUCUGACACUUUUCCCUAUUUUUGCCAAAAGGGAAACUGUGGACUAUAGUCACUCCUGGAAGAAUGUUGGAACUUAACAUUAGAUUCCGCAUGCUUUAUCAUAGUUGGUUUUGUUACUGAUAAAGCAUAUUUCAUUAAGCAUUUUCUGUCAUUUCUCCUUUCUAUAAACUAUUUAAUACCCUCUUGGCAAUAGCCUCAGGUUCGAAAUCAAUUGGAAGCUCCGGCAAUGUAAUGCGGAGGUUGGUCUUCUUGGAUAAAGGAUGUCGCGGCAAUCAAAUCGUUCGUUCGUGGCAUUGUACACGAAUAACAUGGUUAGAAAGUUCUAGAGAGGUUGAUUCAGCUCGCCGCAUGGGACCAAGGCAACUCCUAUUGACGUUGAAUGAAGGCAAGAAGGUGGUCUGGUUAGGUGACAAUACAUUCUCUAAAUAGCUGAUUAUGAGAUUAAUUGCUUAGAUCCACAUAGAGGGCCGCAUCAUUAAACAGGUCUUGUUAUAUAUUCGACUGUUCAUUAAGGAUCUCGCUAGAUGGUCUAUGUUGAUUGAUGCAGAGGCAGAGAGAGCAGUUUACUAUAUAUAGAUAUGUAUGGAUAUUUUUUGGUCUCACUCCUCUUUUCUAUGUAUAGUGGGGUACUCACGGGGUUCGAACCCUUCUCUUUACUAGCAGGGCCGCAUGCCCGUUGGCCACUUGACGUAGAUUAGGAAGGCCAUUCUUUUUUGAGCUAUAGAAAGUGUGGUCUUGUGACUAUUUUUACCCUCCGUACUCACUUAUGGAUGCUUUUCUUAUUGUAAGUUAUGCUUCUAAGGUCUUUCCUAAGCGUCGAGGAUGUAAAUCACUUGCCAAGCAGGCAAAUUUUUGUUGUCGAGUUUUUGCUUGAAUCAUUUACACUGCCGUGACGCCUGUGGUACAGUCCAGGAGUUUAAGGAUUCGUAUCGGUUGUAUGUUGCCUGCAGAAUUCAGACCUAUCAGCCAACUCCAGAGAAUUUGACAAACAGAAACAACAAUUUCACAAAAUACAAACUUCAGUCAAAAGGAUUAUCUGGCUUUCAUUAAUGGAACGUCCACUUUCUCAUAGAGGAAUUCUUGAAUCUUUAUGUUCGUAUACCAUGAUGAUCUUUUUGGGUUUUACUUGAAUUGCAAGGACAAAUUUUCAAAAGUAAAGUAAAAGCAAAUUCUUUAUAAGUUCGAUCCAUCUUUUGUCCCCUGAUCUCUUCCACAAUCGCAAGUCCGAGACUUCCAUUUGGUUCCUCCAAUUUCGCAACCCCAUUAUAUUGGUAGGAACUGCCAAGUGAGAUUAUGAACAUUUAGAUUUCAAUGGGUUAGGUCAAGAACCGCGAAAUCAAGCCAGGCUACAAAGCAGCGAGUAGGGACGUACGAGGAGAUGGAUAUUGGGGAUGAAGGAGAGGACAUGACAAGCACAGUGGCGGAAGGGCCUGCAUGUGGACACGGCGGAGCAGAUCGACGAGACGUUCAGCUUCGGCAUUAUCGUUGCCCGCAAAGCCGAUGACAGCUGGUCUAACCCCACCACGCUCGCCUCCUCCUCCUCCUCCAUUGCUCCCUCUCUCCCUUUCUCGUGCUCGGAAGGAAGACGGGGGCUUAUCGGUUGAUCUUGGUCCGAUGAGCAAUGGUGAGACGAGCUUCUUCAAUUUCGUUUCACAUGGUGACGACGCACGGCAUGCAGGAGAGGAGAUUGCUUGCGUGACGACACCAUUCGAGGGAUCCGUCUUGCAUGGUGGCCCAGGCUCAACCACAGCCUGGUCCGGCCCAAUCAUUCAUAAGCUUGGAUUCAUUAUUUAGGGAUAUAUGCACUACAAGUCCUAAAAUUUAUCAUGAAAAUACAAUUGAUUUCUAAUUUUCUUUUAAAUGCAAUCGAGUUUUAAAAUUUAUCAAAUUUGUGCAAUCGAGUUGUAAAAUCCUUGAUUCUGACCCCGUAGGGAUCAGCCAUAAGGUCCUGAAUGGAUCAACCAAGGGCCAUUGGCCAUGGGAUCAAUCGGUUCAAUCGAUAAGGAAUCAAGGAUCGGCUAUGGUUCGACCGACUGCUCACGAAUUGGUUGAGGUGUCGGCCAUGAAUUAUCUAUCGACCAUACCGGUGGGAUAGGAUCACAAACUCAUAAGAUGACUUUUUGAUAAUGAGGAUUGGUCACGGGAUGAUUUUGGAUUGGCGGAUGGUCAUGGGUCGAUCUGAUUGGUCAUAGUGCCCAACCAUAGAUGAUUCCGCUUGACUAUGCACCGAUACAUGGACGAUCCGACUUAAUCAAAUGUGAUCGUCUUUCGAUCAAAAAUGCAUUAUUCCCUAUUUAAUGCUAAGUGAUCGGAAAUGAAUCUUGAAUUGGUAAUGUCUAAUCGUAGAUUGGUAAUGCACUGACCAUGAACUAUAUGAAUGGAUUGAGUACCGACCAGAAUGAGUUCAAGGAUAGACUCGAGUACUCCAUCACUAAUUCUAAGGUCCAUGAGUGUCUUGACUUAGUGUUAAGUCAUGGAUAGUAAUGGGAUUGGCCUUGACCAACUGAAGGAUCAAUGGACCGACCAUCUAGGCCGAUCGACUAUCCAAGGGAAUGGUUUGGCCGAGCGUAGGGCAUGAUGGCCGAACCUUUGGUAUACAUGAUUCAGUUUUUUGAGAUGUACGUAAUGAUUCCUUUUCCGGCUUAGAAUCAACUUAGAUGGCGGAAUUCUCCAGAUUGCCUUCUUUAGUAAGAAAAGUAUGAAAUAAAGAAGAUUCUAGAACACCCUCAUUAAAUGAAGCGGGUGAUGUGUCAUUUGACUUUUCAAAAGUCAUGAUGAGGUCAAAAAUAUCUUUGAUGGCCAAGAAAAGGACGAUGCACAUGUGGCCCAAUCGGAAAACAAUACCUAAAGCCCUCAAUAAUGACCUAAGAAGUUUAGGCACCAAGUUGGCAAUUUUGAUAGCCUUAUCUUCAAACUUCAUUAAAUGCUCAUUAAAUGUGGGAUACAAGUAGUCCAAUAAAAAUGCAAAAAGUGGGUCAUAUUGAUGACGCCUAUAAUCUAGAUUGCCAAGCGAGAUCUUUUAGCCGUCCAACUCAUUCUCUAGGUUCAAUUAUUGUACAAAUAGGCUUGCCAACUAAGGAUCUUAAGCGGGAUACUUGGAAAAUUUGGAAUGGACCAUUUGGCUUGGUAAUGAUGGCGCUGAGUAGCAUAAAUAGGAGGACCUCUCCUCAUUUUUCACCUUGCCAUCCACUUUCCCCUUCCUCCUCCUCCUCACACCUCUCUCUCUCUUUUGGCUUUCAAGCAAGCCGCCCUUUCCUUUGUAGUUCGAGUUUUAGUUCGAAAUUUAUCCACAUAAGUGUAGUUUUCUUCCUUUCUUUAGUAGCAUUUGUUACGUCUUCGACCCUAAGAAAUUCUCUCUCUAACAAGCCGAGGGUAGGUUGAUUGAUUCUUGGAUGUUUGAUAUAUUCUACGACUUGUUCAUGUUCUUGAAUUUUCUUGUGUGAACGGAACGAAGUCAUGGUUCAUCGCUUUUGUUCGGUACAAGUCGAGGUUUGCCUAUAACCAUAAGAUGUGAUUUGGUAUUGAGGUGUACCGAGUUUACGUCUUGGAUUGGUGUGAGAUUUCUUUAUGCUUGUUACUUGAGCGAAGCUUUGGGCUUAGGCUUGUUUGUCAAGUUGUAGAUAAGAAAAUUCAUGAUUUCAUGGCAUGUGCAUUAUGUUUGAGCAAGAAAUGCAUAAUUCAUGGCACAUGCAAGAAGCUUGAGUACGCCCUUAAAAAGGGAAUUAGUGCUCGAGCAAGGUGAGAAAAGAUAAGAACGGGGUUCAAGUCCUCAAAUUCUUAGCAAGAAUUGGGUUCGAGUCCCAGAGGCUGGCAAGAGACUUGGGUUCAAGUCCUGAGCAUAUUAACUGGGUUUAAGUCCUAGAAGUCGGCAAAAAGCCAAAAGCCUAGAUAAAAGCCCAAAGUGAAUUGGGUUCAAGUCCUAAGACGGCUCCGGAAAGAUUUGGGUUUGAGUCCCAAGUAUAAGAGAAAGCUCAGUAAGCAUGGCAUGCAUGAGUAAGAAAGAAAGGCCAGAAGUGCAUAAGCUCACGGCAUGCAUCACGCUCAUGAAUGGUUGUAAGAAGUAUGGUUGCAUCCUUACAAUUGAUUUGCCUUUAACACUGUUUGCUUGAAAUGUUUUGACUAGUGUUGAUGGUGAAGCGAUGUUCUAACUGAAGGUCAGAGGCUAUAUUUACUGAGUAUAUCCAGUACUCACUCUUACUUCUUUUAUAGGUACUUAGAAUUAUGGUUACUAUGCAUUUUGGUUGUCCUGUAAAGACUUAUAUCACUACAUCGAACAUAAUAGAUGUGAGACUAAUAUUACUUACCGAAAAGUGUUGUCCGUCGUGUGGAUAGAAAAAGGAUUGGAGGAGCUCGUCCCGAUGCACUUCGAAACCUGAUUUAGAUGGUAUGAGGACACUUGGAUAGGGCCUCUCCGAGGAUUUGACAACCCGAACCCAAAUCUUAGUGAUAAUGAUGAUCCGUUCGAAAAUUCGGACUAAGCUUAUGUAUAAUGGCCCAAGUAGUAAAACAAGGGUUCUCAGUUUUGAAUAGUAACCGCCAUAGCAGAGAUAGGGAUACCCCAAGCUCUCUUUUGGGUGAGUAUAAAAUAGAGCUUUGAAGCUUGUAAGAUGUGUAAGACCGGGGAAUAGGCUUACUACAUGUGUAAUAUAUAAAGUAUGUUAGUGAUGUUGUAUCUCACAUUCCUAUGAUAUUUGUGUGGGGGAUUGUAUGUUCAUGUUUUCCGCAUACGGAUAAAUAAGAGACAAAUGAAUUCAGGACGACGACAAAGCCUAGGAUGUCACAAAAUAAUCCGUAGCUCGACCUCCGAGUAAAGGGGGCGUGACACGAGUCUUUUCAUUAAUACUGUCAAUUUGUUUAAUGGAAAAUGCUCAUAUGGCAUUUUAAAAUAAUAUCUCUCUCCUACAUGUCAUUUUUUAUUAAUUUUUCCUUUGAAUCUUAUUUAAAUAAUAUUUUUAAAAUAAAAAAAACUAAAAUAUUUUAAAAAAAUUGGAGAAAAAGAGAAAAAAAAGAGAGAAAGGACUCACCGGUGACCGCUACAUAUCGCUAGAUGGGCUGUGAAGGUCGCCUACGCAGCUCACCCAGAUCUAGCCAAGCCUCACUUGUGACAUCCAGAUUUUUGUGUUGAUACAACAUGAGAAGAUUGUUGCAUAACCGUUCCGCCAGUUGAGACCUAAUAAGUUGAAUAUGAAAUGGUAUCGUGAAUCAGAACCUUGGCAGGACUGUAAUGGUGUUAUCUAGUAUCACCCUGGAGGAACGAAAGGAGUCAUUAAUGUGUUGAGCCGAGAGUCUUCAAUUACGCAUAGGCUGGCUAAAGUAUAAACUUUACUUGAAAAUGGUUCGAAAUUUGGUUUUCAAAUUUGAGGUAUGCUACCUUUUGAAUUUUAUAGUCACCCUCAAAAUUGAACCAGAUGUUCAAGUUAGGAUUGGCGCCUAAUUGAUUGACAGAGAUGUUCAGAAGACCUUAUAAGAGGAUACUGGUAAGAAAGAAUCUGACCUUAAGAUUUCUGAGGAUGGAACAUUCGAGUUCCAUGAGUGAUUGAGUGUACUUGAUAUUAUAGCACUCAGGUAAGAAAAAUUGCUAGAAAUUUACUAUGGCAGUUGUAGUAUUUGGUUAGACAAUUCAAAGUAGAUCAGAAUCGACGUCAGCUAGAUUGGUAGACUGACAUGAAGGUAGAUACCGCCAGGCAAUUUGCAAGUGCCAGAGAUGUCAGUAAGUGGAAGUUCAGUAAUGCAAACCAGGAGAGCUUUUACCAUCACUCGAGAAUCCCAAGUGGGAACGAAAAUAUAUCACAAUGGAACAUUGUGACAGGCUUACUAAGGAUUCGGGGGAGUGCUGAUACCAUUUGAGGAUAGUGGUCGAUCGAUAGAUGGAGUCGGUCCACUUUGGUAUGGUACAAAUAGAUCUUGUUUUGAAUGGGUAUACCGAAGUGGGUGUGCAUCAAAUAAUUCACCGGCAUGGAGUGUCGAGGAUGAAUUAUAUUAUGAAUCUAGAUAAGAGAUUAUAAUUUUGACAGAGUUGUCAAAGGGUUCUUUCUUAAGCAAUGCAUAGCAGAGGGUACAUAAUUUCAGUGGUGAAAAAGAAGUGAAGUGAAGAAAGAUCACAGGCCAGAGUCAGUUCAGUAGUCAGUCAUUGCAAUUGUUGUGAUCGGAGUCAGAUGUGAACGACAGAGUGUUAUAUGUGAGAAGCUCAGUUCAGUUGUUGGUUCAGAAAGAGUAGAUUUUGUGUACCAAGAUGGUCUACUUAGUCAAAAUGGUCGAACAACACCACGAGACCAAAUGAUUAGCAUGGAAAAGUGAGACUCAAUGAGACGACAAUACCCCCACCUUUUGUAUAAGGAUUGGUAAAGGUUUAAAUUUCGAGAACGAAAUUUUUAUAAGAGGGGAAGAGUUGUGACAUUCAGAUUUUUGUGUUUUGAUUUCGAUUAAAUAAAUUGGGCAUUUCAUCAACGUGACUAUAGUGUUGUUCUCUAAGUUGGCCGCUCACGAGAAUUCGACUAGAAAUCGACUUCUCGACCGUGCUUAUCUUUAGAGAUCAUUGCGGCACAGUAUAAAAUCGAUUUGAAAUCAGAGAUAGGUCAGUUUGAUUGAGAUGAAUGACUGAUCGUGGGUGACUCCACUAACUUGGAAAACUCUUGUCGACCGACAUUAAUUUGAUUUUACUGUCGUUUUGGUACCCUGUGUCCGUAUCUGAAUCCUCGAGAUUUUCAUGACAACCGAGAGUCGUCAAUGUGUCGAGUGGGUUCAUCGUGGCUCGAAGAAAAUCGACCACGGGUCAUUUGUCUUAAAAAGUUCUAAAAAUUACCAUGUAGCUUAGGUUACGCUAAAAACACGUUCGAGUGAAAUUAACCGCCAAUCUAAGUCCGAUUUCAAAAAUUGAAGAUUCCGUCAUGUCACAAUAAAUUUUAGGAACGUCGAAUCAAUCUCAGAAGAUUUUUUGACAACCGAGGCUUUUUGGGAAAAAGUUGAGGUAUGGCCGUUUUUAAUCGAAAUUUGCAGAUGACCAUUUUUAUUGUGAAAUUAAGAUGCAAGUGGGCUACAUUGGUAAGGAAAAAUACCAAUUUGAUUUAUGAGGUGUUGAAUGAAUUAAUGGGGGUUAAUUUGAUUUGAUUCAAGUGGGAUUAAGGUCCAAUUUGUGCCAUUCCUCUUGCAAAUUCGUAUGCCUCAUAUACCCAACAAUUUGGACCACCUUAAAGCUUCUAGAAGGGGCAUUUUUGGCAAGGAAAAGUGAGUGGAAGACAGCUGGGUUGGUGGGGCCAAAAAGAGAGAGAGAGAGAGAGGAAGAGAAAACCGGUUUCCCCUCUCUCCUCCGUCGAGCACCUCCAUCUUCUUCCCUUUCCUUUCGAUUUCUUCUUUAGCAGCAAACCAGAGAGGCCCCAUCCGAAGUCACACGCCACCGAGGAGCCCCGUCGUCGCACGCCUCACGCCGAAAUGCCGCAAGCCACCGGAGCUACUCACGCGCACUCGAGCCCGUCGCCGUGCGUUCUCGUUGUUCCGUGGUCCCAGCUCCCUGUUCUGAGCUGCUUGAGACGCGUCCCAGCCCCGCCGAGCUCCCUCCGUCUCCGUCCAGCCGUUCCUCGACCCAGCUUGGACCGCCGUCGCCGCUCGCCAUCCCAUGCUCCGCCUGCCUCGGCCUCCCCCUCGCCCAGCCCUCUGUUACAAUGACCGUUUCAGAUCUGGUGGAGCUUCGCCGGAGCCGUUUAGCCCACCUCCGGCCACCGUGAAGCCCCGCCUAGGUCUGGUUCAGCCCUCCGUCCAUCUAGGUCCGUUGUCGCCUCAACCUGAGCCCGAAUCCAGCCCUAACCAGCAGUGAACCGAGAGGAAGAAAAUGGGUAUGGCAGUAGCUUCGUGGCCCGUUUUGGCCGUCUUCCUGAGCCCGGAUGCUCGGUCCGCUUUGAGGAAAGUUGAUCCUCGCGUCGAUCCCGUCGUUUUGUGUGAGUUUUACUCACUAAUAUCUUCUUAGUUUGCUAAUUAUACUUAAAUGUUGAUUAGUGUUGGUUAAGUAUAAUUAUGUGGUUAGAUUAGAAUUGAUUAGCGAUUAUUGGUUAAUUGCAUUGCAUAUUAGUUGUUUGGUUAGUGUACUGCCUAUAAUAUUUAUUGGACGCUUCUUGGGAUUUUUCCCGACCCUUAUCGGGUGUUAAUUAGGCAAUUCGGGCCUAAAUGGAAUUUUUAGGAAUUAAAUAUUAAUUUUCGAAAUUAAUUAUUUAAUUAUUUAUUUUCCGGAAAUUCAACUAGGAUGGCCAGUGGUCGGGAUUUUAUGCUGAUGAUCGUGGUGCAGUCCAUUUAUUUAAUUGAGUUCCAUAUUGUGCUAAAUUGAAUUUAUUGUAUUUAUUUAUUUAAUUUUCGAAAUUAAUUAUUUAAUUAUUUAUUUUCCGGAAAUUCGACCAGGAUGGAUGGUGACCGGAAUCUUGUGCUGAUUGUCGUGGAGUAGUCCAUUUAUUUAUUUGAGCUUUAAUUCGUGUCGAAUUGAUUGAAUGGUGCAUUUUGAAGUUAUGUUCUUAAAUAAUGCAAUUUUGGCUAUGUGAUUGAGGAUUGGUCGGGUAUCGGUUGUCAAUAUCGAAAGUGAGUUGGUAAAUCACCUGGAGAAUGCACGUGGCCCAGUGAAUUGGAGUGUCACCUGGGAAGGACACGUGGCUCGGUGAUUGGAUAUGUCACCUUGGCGAAAAGGUAGCCUUAGAGAAUGCAUGUGGCUCGGAGACUCAGUAUGUCUUCCUGGAGAAUGCAUGUGGCUCGGUGACAGAGUAUGGUAUCGUAAAAAGGAUCGGGUGGGACCGUAAAUCCAUAAGAUAUUUAAAGGGUCGGGUGGGACCGUAAAUCCAUAAGAUAUUUAAAGGGUCGGGUGGGACCGUAAAUCCAUAAGAUAUUGAAAGGGUCGGGUGGGACCGUAAAUCCAUCAGAUAUUGAAAGGGUCGAGUGGGACCGUAAAGUCACUGAAUCUCAAAAGGGUCGAGUGGGACCGUAAAGCCAUUGAAUCUCGAAAGGAUCGAGUGGGACCGUAAAGCCACUGAAUCUUGAAAGUGCCGAGUGUUGCCGUAAAGCCACUAAAUCUAAGAAAGUUCACCUAUAAAUAAGUUGUGUCCUAAGGACCGUGAUUCAUAAUUAGGAAUUGAGUUGGAAUAGUUGAAAUGACCAGAAAUGGUUUUGAUGAUAUGUAAUCUACUAGGUCAAUUGAUUGAUGAUUCAAUUUGAGUGUGAUUUGAUGUGAUUCAUUACUUGGGUAUGAUGUUGUGAAUCAAUUGAUUAAAUGGAAAUGACCGUGAGUGGUAUUGUUGGCGUGUAAUCGACUAGGUCAAUUUAAUCGAUGCUUUUUAGUUUGUUGAUAUCAUUUAAAUAAUAUUUAAAGAAAUAUUAAUAAAAAAAUGACACGCGGGGGAGAUAUAUUAACUCAUGUUGUGCAUAGGCAGCUCUAAGAUAUAUUAGUUUACUAAUCGGGUCUUAGGGAGUAGAACUUGCUGAGACAUAGUCUCAUCCUGGUUGUGGGAUAAUAUUUCAAGCCCUUAGAUUUCUCGAAGACGAGCUGGCAUUUGAAGCCGAGGAUGAGCGAGAAGAAGGAGAUGAAGAGUUUGAAGAAAAUGAGCCUAGUGGUGAAAGAUUUGAGGAGGAUCGGGAUGAUGAUCCCGAGCAUGACCCGGAUGAGGACCGAGAUCCUAUCCUCUUUUGUGAACCCUGUACAUGUGUGGUUGUGAAUUUCAAUAUGAAAAAUAUGGCCUGCUUUUUUAUUCCAUUGCUUUAUUGUCUGGGGAUUUUUAUAACUGCUUCCGCAUAUGCUAUUAAAAAGGAAAGGGUCGGCGAUAUGUAGUCCUAGGGUAUCGCAUUUUAAAAUCGACCAAGGUAAGGGAUGUGCGCGUGCCCGAGGAUCAGGGCGUUGCAUCACUCGGGCCUAGCGAGGUUCAAUGGUGAGGUUCCCUAGCCACCCUCGCCGACUCCUCCAUUGAUGGGCAAUAAUGGUGGCAAUCAUUGGUGAGUCCCUGCACUUUUUAGUUUCUUUUUUUUCUUGUUUUGUUUUUAAAUAUUUUACUUUUUUAGUUUGUUGAUAUCAUUUAAAUAAUAUUUAAAGAAAUAUUAAUAAAAAAAUGACACGCGGGGGAGAUAUAUUAAUUUAAAAAUGUCACGUCGGCAUUUUCAGUAGACAAAUUGACAAUGUUAAGCGGAAGGACUCAAUUAUAUCAAUUUGACAAGUUUUAGAACUUAAUUAUACUUUUUGAAAGUUUUAGAAGCUAUAAUGCAUGUAUCUUUAUUAUUUAUAUAGGUGAUCGUGGGCUAAAUUAAGAGGAAAGCUGUCAUUUAGGGGGUCCAAUGAAAAAACCCUAGUAGUGCAGGGACGGGAGGGCAAAAAUAUAAUUAGACCCAGAAGCGCAAGUGGAUCCACGUUUCACUGCGAGUGCAUUUUCGAAGCUAGAAGUCAAGUCAGUCACCGAUCCCGCUCGAUCUACCGGGAGUAACCCCGAGCCUACGCCCCCUCGUCCCCGCCAUGGCCGAUUGGAGCCAGAUGCCGGAGGAACUCCUCCGCCUCAUCUCGCGGCGCCUCGGCACGCAGUUCGACGUCCUCCGAUUCCGAUCCGUCUGCUCUUCCUGGCGCUCCUCGGUCGCGCCGAGCCUUAAGCCCUUCCCGAACGGCCGAUUCCCGAUGAUCCCUGACGACAGCACCGGGGUAGACUUUCUCUGCAAGCGCACCAUCUACCUCCUCGGAGCGCCCCGAUCCGGCGACCGAACGGUCCCCAGCGGGUGGCUGCUCAAAGUCGCGGAGGACGUCCCCUGGGGGAUGAAUACACUGAACCCUCUCUCCAUCUGCGAAUCUGCUCCUCUGCCUGAGGAUUUUCCGAGAGUUUUGGACUUGAUGAAUCUGCGGGUGGUGGAGUUAGGGCACGAGUAUGUGUUGCGGGGUACACAUUAUCAUGGCUAUGGCGAUAAUUAUGAUAUAAUAGACACGAUUAAGGUUGCUUUUUUGUGUUUAGACAAUGAAAAUUAUUUUGUGCUGUUCAGGGAUGUCUUUCAUGGCAAAUUGGCCAUGUUUAAAUCUAGGGAAAAGCGGUGGUCCAUCGUUCAGGACAUGCCGUCGCCAUAUGACGACAUGAUAUCAUUUAAAGGGGAGUUUUAUACCGUUGACAAUGCUGGGAGGACUGUGGUCGUCGGGUUGGAUCUGAGUGUGACUUUGAUUGCACAGCCGAACUUUGAUGGUCUCCAAACGAAGUGCUUGGUGGAAUCUGUGGGCGAACUGCUGUUGGUCUAUAUGCAUUGGGAUGAGACACCGAGAUUUAAGGUCUACAAGUUGGACAGAGAAGAGAAGGUAUGGAAUGAGGUGAAAGAUUUAGGGGAUAGGGUGUUGUUUCUGGGAGAUGAAUGUACAUUUUCUGCUUCAGCUGCAGAUUUAGGGGCUUGUAAGGGGAAUUGCAUAUUUUUUAUAGAUCAAGAUGGAGACAUAGCAGCUUCGAGCCUUAAGAUUGUUGUCUAUGAUAUGGAAAGUGGCAUUUUUGGACCUAUAGAAGAUUAUGCAGGUUAUUCAGAGCUGUUCUGGCCUCCUCCAGAUUGGAUUGCUUCGAAGACUUCGGAAGUAAGUAUUUGUUUUCUGGAAUUCUUCCAAUCAUCUAUUUUGCAUCAUCGUUAGACUUUUCAGUUUGUCCGUCCUAGGAAUCUGUAUAGGAGCACACUAGAGAUUUCCUCUGUUCUGUUGCAUAUUCUAAUACUACAUUCUAUCAUCAUGUUCUGAAAGUAUGUCGAAGCUACUUCCUUGCGGGCACUGGUUAUAUUUUUGCCAAGAAGGGAAACCAUGGACUAUAGUCAUUUCUAGGAGAAAAUGUUGGGACUUAACAUUAGAUUCCUCAUGCUUUAUCAUAGUUGGUUUCAUUCCUGGUAAAAAAUAUUUCAUUGAACAUUCUCUGUCAUUUUCCCUUCUAUAAACUAUUUAAUACUCUCUUGGUGAUAGCCUUAGGUUCGAAAUCAAUUGAAAUCACUGGUAGUGUAAUGCGGUGGUUGGUCUUCUUGGAUAUGGGGCGUUGCUACAAUUGAAUCAUUCUGUGGCAUUGUACAUGAAUAACGCGGUAAGAAAGGGCAAGAGAGGUUGAUUCAGCUCACUGGAUGGACCAAGGCAACUCCUACCGAUGCUGAAGGCAAGAAGGUAAGUCUGGUCAGGCAACAAGGCAUCCUCUGAAUGACUGAUUAUGAGAUUAAUGCUCGGACUCCACCUAGAGGACCUGCAUCAUUGGUCAGGUCUUGUUGACUGUUUAUCAAGGAUUCCGCCAGACAAUCUCUGUCAAUUGAUGCAGAGGCACGUGAAGCCGUUCACUGUGCAUAGAUUUUAUUUUUUUGGGUCUCACUCCUCUUUUCUAUGUACAUGUGUCUGCGGUGCUCACGGAAUUUGAACUAUGAAAAGUAUGGUCUUCUGACCAUUUUUACCCUCUGUACUCACUUAUGGAUGCUUUUCUUAUUGUAAGUUAUGCUUCUAAAGUCUUUCCUUAGCUUGGAGGAUGUCAAUCUCUUACCAAAGAGGCAAACUUUUGCCGGCUGAGUUUUUGGCUGAAUCAUUUACACGGCUAUGACGCCUGUCGUCCAGUCCAGAAGUUUGUGAACUGGUAUCGGUUGUGUGUUGCCGCUAUUGACGACAGAGAACCUACCCAAGGCAGGGUUAAACCUUUGAGCCAACUUAGAUAUUUGAUAAACAAAAACAACAAUUUCACAACACACAAACUUCAGUCAAAAGGAUCGUGUGGAUUUCAUUAAUGGAGCUUCCAUUUUUUCUCUAGACGAAUUCUCAAACAUUCAUGUUCAUAUAUCAGAAUCUUUCAAGCUUUUACUUAACUUGAAUGCAAGGACAGAAUCCAUAUCCCAUCCAGAUUCAUAUCACUGGGGCCCCUAUCGUCACUUUCGGCACCAUAUCCCCAUCCAGAUUCAUCUCUCUCUCAAGCACAAAGAUAAAUGGGCAACCAAAGAGAAUUUCCCUCUCUCUCUCUCUCUCUCGCACAAAGAUAAAUGGAGUGAUUUUCUCAAAAACAUAAUAUUAGGAAACUCAAACAAUAUAUCUCUUCUCUACUCAUUCACUCCUGACAAAUGUACAUGAUUAGACUUCACCUAGUUCUCUCUACUUCUCCCAUACAUAUGGGCCCAACACAUCAUCAAUCUCGUUCGGGUACAUACCCAGAAGCCCGUCUUGCACUAAUGUUCCCAGCAUAUGACCAUACCUCUUCGAAUUCUGCCGCCGCAGGUUUCUCAUCAUGUUUUUUGUGAUUCUUCCCGUUUGUGGACGGGGCCGUUCUUCCCGGAUUUCGACUGAUGGAAGAGGAGCAAAAAUAUGGGGUCGCAAAAGGAGAGCCGUAGGGCGUGUGCUUGAUCGAGAGGGGACUAGAAGCCAUUUUCUCUUCCGAAUGGGAAGACAAACCAGACCUCCCCGCCUAAAGAGGGGCAAUGACUCGACUGCAGCACAACUCUUGGUGGCGUCGUCUCUACAUAUAUGACAUCGUCAAUCCUCGCUAUCACAUUAAAGGCGAGGCUCUCCGUUACACUCAAGUAGCUUUCGAGAAUCAAUUGUCCAACAUUUUGCAAGAUUACAAAGCCAGUUCAAAUGUGAAUAAGUUUCAAAAAGCUAACACUCAUCUGUACAAGCCAUCAAGUGGAUGCAUCAAGUGGCAUGCACGCAUUAACUGAACUAACCUUUGCACCUAAUGGAUGCUUUAUUUUGGGAGAUAUUGCAAUCUAAAAUGAGAAAGCGAUGAGCGAGUGUACCUUGUUAUAAUCGAUCUUCUUCAUAUCCAGUCUGAGGAAGGCUAGGGAAACAAAAGCCUUAAGGCCACGUUUGGUUGUUCGGAUUUCUAAUCGGGAUAGGACUAGAUAGGGUAGGAUAUGAAAUUCUUGGAUUUUUUUAUAUCCUAUUUAUUGUUUGGUGAAUCGCAAUAUUAAAGUUGGAUAUAUUUAUAUCAUAUCAUAUACAUUUUUUUUUUCAUAUAAACGACAUAUCAUUAUAAACGUACCUAAAUGUUCAUAAACGGAGAUGAUGAAAAUCUCUCGUAACACUAUUCCUUGAUUUAUUUUUAUUUUAUUUUUCCUCUUAUAUAUUAUUUUCUUUAUUAUUUCUUUUUUCCCCUUUCAUCAUUCUUUAAUAAAAUUUUAUCAAAUAAUAAAUUGUACUAACAUACUUAAAAUAAAAAAUACCUAAAAUAUAUAAUACAUAUAAAUAUUUAAUUUAUAGAUUGAAUGUUUAUUAUAAGAUAGAAUUAAAGUUGAAUAUAUAAAUUAAAAUAGGAUUAAUUAAAAAUGAUUUUUUUAUUUUUAAAUCUUUAAAUUAUAAUUCAAAUAUUAUUACUAUUGAAAUAUAAUUUCAAUAUUAUUAAUUUAAUAAGUUUGUUAUUCGAGAAAAAUAACUUUCAUAGUAUGGACAUUAGAAAUUCUAUUCACCUUUAUCCCACCUUUUCCAUGAGAUAAUUUUAUCAUAUCUAUAUCUCUCUUAUAUCCGACUUUAUCAUGUCCUAAACGAGCAUCAAACGUAGGAUAUAAUAAAUUAUAUCUUAUCCUGAAUUUUAUCCCGAUUGCCAAACGCAGCCUAAGCUCUGCAGCCGGGUCUCUGCUCGUUCAGCUAGAAGAUCUCUCUCUCCAUCGCUAGCCCUUUAACCUUACCAUCCCAAGAUGACUGCGUCGAUUUUGUACGAUUUACGCGUUUCUUCUGGUCUUUCGGCUUCAGGACAUGGACCGCCGCCUCAAUCCCCGUUAGCCGCCACCUCCAAGGGGUGAUUCUGAGAUGUUAAGUCAGAGACGAUCAGGCAGACAUUGUGGGGAAAACUGCUCGGCAGUAACGUAACGAUAUAUAGUAUGGCCUAGACAAUCUUUUCCACUCCGUAAGAAGAGAAAGCUUAUAGUCAAGCUUGUGCAAAGACUGGCAUAAUCAAUAACCUUAUAGACGAAUCGUCGAGUCGAUCACGGUCUACCUUCAAAGCUCCUCAUCAGAGGAUUAGGCAGCAACUGAGGCCGCAGGCGGACCCGACAAAGCAUAUGGACGACACGUCCAGCUUCAUUAUUAUCAUUGCCGGUGGAGCCAAUCUCUCGUGCUUGGAAGGAAGAAGGGGCUCAUCCCUCGAUCUUGGUCCGAUGAGCAAAUGAGAUCAUAGCUUCUCCGAUUUCGUUUCACAUGGUGACAACUGACAGCAUUUGUAAAGCUUGGAUUUAUUAUUUACGCAGGUGAUUGUGGGCUAAAUUAAGAGGAGAGCUGUCGUUUCGGGGGUUGAUUUGAAAUUCAUCUUUCGCAUCUGUUUUUAGAAAUCUUAAAUUACUUAGUACUAUGAUCUCGUCAUAAUUGUAGCCCCGGUAAGUUUUAAUUACCUCACACAUCUGUCUCAUGCGAGAUCUAGCAAUGUAAUUGCUUAUAGGCACAUGCUAUACUUGAAUCGACCUAAGGCAUGACUUGUGACAAUGAUAGGUCUAUCCCAAGCCCAAGCGAUGAGCUCGAGCUUGGUUUUUAAUUUCUUUUUUAUGUAUUCUUUAAAAUAAUAAAAAUCCCAAUAAAACUGUCCAUUGAAAUAAAUUCUUUCCUUCGUAAUGUUUAUUAUUUUUUUUAGGGAGUCCUAAGUAGGGGACAGCUGCACAAAAUUAAAAAUACAAAGGGGAACUACGUAAUUAAGGGUAUUUGAAAAGGAGAAAAAAAAACAACAUUCAGAUUUUAGCAGGAGUAUAUUUUAAGCAUAGCCAAAAAAAAAAUUAAAAAAAAAGAAGAACAAAAUCAUGAUAUGAGCAUCACCUGUACGUAGAUUACCCAAACCUACUAAGAGCGCGUUUGGUAACGAUUCUGUUCCCGGGAGUAGAUUCUGAUCAGAAUUGAUUCUUUUUUAUUCUGUUCCCGGGAACUGAUUCUAAGCAUUUUAGGCCGUUUGGUAACUGUCCAAAAUUUUUUAUUCUGGAAUAGAAUUGCGUUUGGUACCGUGUUCAUUAAUUAUGUUCCAAAUCUAUUUCUUUUAAUUUUUAAAUAAUUUUUUUACUUUUUUCCUUUUUUUUUCAUUUUCCUUUUUUUUCUUUUCUUUUUCUUUUCUUUUUCUCACCUUCUUCUUCUUCUUCUGGCCGGUCCGGCCUUGUCGGGGUUGGGCGAGGCCUGCCAGGCCACCGGCGGGGCUGGGCGAGCCUCGCCUGGCCACCGGUGGGGCUGGGCGUCGCAAGGCUUGCCCAGCCCCUGCCCAGCCCCGGCGAGGCCUCGCCCAUCCCUGGCGAGGCCUGCCUGGCCAUCGGCGAGGCUCGGCCUCGCCAGAUUUAGGGAGGCCGAGCCUCGCUGGUGGCUGGGCUUGCCUCCGGUGAGCUCGCCGGACCUCGCCCUGGUCUGGCGAGCUCGCCGGGCGGCGGCCAGCGGCGACGGCGGUCGCGAGAUGGCCGAAGGGAAGAAGAAAAUUUCUUAUUUUGAUUCUCAAAUUCGUUCCCGGAACAAGAAUCAACUUUUUUUUUGUUCUUGAUUCUAUUCCCAAUCUGUUCCCGGGAACAAAAAUUUUAUCAAAUGCGAUUCUAGGCCGAAAUUGAUUCCGGGAACAAAGAAUCAGAAUUUGGCCCUGUUUGGAUGGUUACCAAACAGGGCCUAACCAAACACUUUCCAUUCUUCUUCCGAAACCCCCGAAAAUAACUCCCGUCUCCCGCCUUCUUCUUCACCCUGUCGAGUGUCGAGGUUUCAGAGCAAGCAAGCAAUAUCUCAGUCGCCGAAUGAUGCAGCGACGAUGCGCGAAGCUCCGGCCGCUGACGCUUCAAUCGGUUCGCUGCUCUCCGGCCGCUGACGCUUCAAUGGUCCGGCUCAUUCGUUAGUAAGCUUGGAUUCAUUUACACAGGUGAUCGUGGGCUAAAUUGAGAGGAAAGCUUUCCUUCGGGGGUUGAACGAAGAAACUUUUAGAAGUACGGGGACGGGGGGCAAAGAUGUAACUAAGCCUCCAAAGCGCGCGUUCAGCCCCGCUUCGCUGCGAUUGCUUCCUUCCGAAGCAAGAAGCACGAAGUCCAGUCACCUGUAAAUUUUCCCCGCGGAUUCCCCCCUCUCACUUUCUCUCGCGUUUUCUCGCCGAUCCUGCUCGAUGUCCCGGGCGCAUCCCGCAGCUUCUAUGGUCGAUUGGAGCCAGAUGCCGGAGGACCUCCUCCGCCGCAUCGCGCGACGCCUCGGCACGCAGUUCGACGUCCUCCGAUUCCGAUCCGUCUGCUCUUCCUGGCGCUCCUCGCUCGCACCGAGCCCUAACCCCUUACGGCGCGGCCGAAUCCCGAUCAUCCCGCACGAGGGGUAUCCCGACGACUGCCCCGAGCUAUACGUUCUCCCCAAGCGCACCAUCUUCCUCGUCGGAGUGCCCCGAUCCUG